rfam:Oryza nivara chromosome 9, whole genome shotgun sequence.
AUGUACUCCCUCCAUUUGGUGCAUGUCUAAUGUUUGAUCGUUCGUCUUAUUUGAAAAAAAUUAUAAUUAGUAUUUUAUUGUUAUUACAUGAUAAAACAUGAGUAGUAUUUUAUGUGUGACUAUUUUUUAAUUUUUUCAUAAUUUUUUUAAAUAAGACGGACGGUCAAAACACUAAACACGGAUAUCUAUGGCUGCACUUAUU